rnacentral:rRNA from 1 species
GUAGGGAAUCUUGCACAAUGGGCGAAAGCCUGAUGCAGCAACGCCGCGUGAAGGAUGAAGGCCUUCGGGUUGUAAACUUCUGUUCUAAGGGAAGAAACAAAUGACGGUACCUUAGGAGCAAGCCCCGGCUAACUACGUGCCAGCAGCCGCGGUAAUACGUAGGGGGCAAGCGUUAUCCGGAAUUAUUGGGCGUAAAGAGUGCGUAGGUGGUUACCUAAGCGCAAGGUUUAAUUUAGAGGCUCAACCUCUACUUGCCUUGCGAACUGGGCUACUUGAGUGCAGGAGGGGAAAGCGGAAUUCCUAGUGUAGCGGUGAAAUGCGUAGAUAUUAGGAGGAACACCAGCGGCGAAGGCGGCUUUCUGGACUGUAACUGACACUGAGGCACGAAAGCGUGGGUAGCAAACAGGAUUAGAAACCCGAGUAGUCC